rnacentral:misc_RNA from 1 species
AACGCAUAUUGCGCCUUAGCCUUCGGGCAAGGGCAUGUCUGCCUCAGCGUCGGUUUAACCCCUCGCUCACCCCACCCCUGUGGUGGGUGGAGUCGCACCUGCUGCUUCUUGCGGCUGCGUCUCGUUGAGCGGAUCUGGCCUCCCCAUGCUGCUGUUCGGCAGCAGCAAGGGUUGGCUGAAGUGCAGAGGCUAGAGCUCGGACCCACAUGGGCUACAACUGGAUAGGUAGACACAGCCUUCGGGCUGCCUACACGAAGUUGUUGCUUGGGACCUUGCUGGCGGCCAGCAGGAAAGCUGCCUUCGGGUGGCUAGCUUAAACAUUCGACCUGAGCUCAGGCAAGGCUACCCGCUGAACUUAA